rnacentral:rRNA from 1 species
AUUGAACGCUAGCGGGAGGCCUUACACAUGCAAGUCGAACGAGUGGCGGACGGGUGAGUAAUGUCUGGGAAACUGCCCGAUGGCGGGGGAUAACUACUCGAAACGGUAGCUAAUACCGCAUACCAUCGGAUGUGCCCAGAUGGGAUUAGCUAGUAGGUGGGGUAAAGGCUCACCUAGGCGACGAUCCCUAGCUGGUCUGAGAGGAUGACCAGCCAAACUGGAACUGAGACACGGUCCAGACUCCUACGGGAGGCAGAAGUGGGGAAUAUUGUACAAUGGGCGAAAGCCUGAUGCAGCCAUGCCGCGUGUAUGAAGAAGGCCUUCGGGUUGUAAAGUACUUUCAGCGGGGAGGCGGUACCCGCAGAAGAAGCACCGGCUAACUACGUGCCAGCAGCCGCGGUAAUAC